ACGCUGGCGGCGUGCUUACACAUGCAAGUCGAACGCUGAAGGCCUGGCUUUUGUUGGGUUGGAUGAGUGGCGAACGGGUGAGUAACACGUGAGUAACCUGCCCUCUUCUUUGGGAUAACGCCCGGAAACGGGUGCUAAUACUGGAUAUUCACUGAUCUUCGCAUGGGGGUUGGUGGAAAGGUUUGUUCUGGUGGGGGAUGGGCUCGCGGCCUAUCAGCUUGUUGGUGGGGUGAUGGCCUACCAAGGCUUUGACGGGUAGCCGGCCUGAGAGGGUGACCGGUCACAUUGGGACUGAGAUACGGCCCAGACUCCUACGGGAGGCAGCAGUGGGGAAUAUUGCACAAUGGGCGAAAGCCUGAUGCAGCGACGCCGCGUGAGGGAUGGAGGCCUUCGGGUUGUAAACCUCUUUCGCUCAUGGUCAAGCCGCAACUGUGGGUUGUGGUGAGGGUAGUGGGUAAAGAAGCGCCGGCUAACUACGUGCCAGCAGCCGCGGUAAUACGUAGGGCGCGAGCGUUGUCCGGAAUUAUUGGGCGUAAAGGGCUUGUAGGCGGUUGGUCGCGUCUGCCGUGAAAUUCUCUGGCUUAACUGGGGGCGUGCGGUGGGUACGGGCUGACUUGAGUGCGGUAGGGGAGACUGGAACUCCUGGUGUAGCGGUGGAAUGCGCAGAUAUCAGGAAGAACACCGGUGGCGAAGGCGGGUCUCUGGGCCGUUACUGACGCAGAGGAGCGAAAGCGUGGGGAGCGAACAGGAUUAGAUACCCUGGUAGUCCACGCUGUAAACGUUGGGCACUAGGUGUGGGGGCCACCCGUGGUUUCUGCGCCGUAGCUAACGCUUUAAGUGCCCCGCCUGGGGAGUACGGCCGCAAGGCUAAAAGUCAAAGGAAUUGACGGGGGCCCGCACAAGCGGCG
rnacentral:rRNA from 1 species